GGGGAUGAUUCUGGAUUCGACCGGAAGCAUGGAUUCCAAGGCGCAUGUCGAGCUCGGUAACUCGUAAAACUGUCGACAAAAAAUAGUCGCCAACGACGAAAACUACGCUUUAGCAGCUUAAUAACCUGCGUAAAGCCCUCGGUUUUAAGCCUUUCUAGUGACGCUUAAUUAAUCCGGGGUCAGUUUUUCACUAGAUCGUAUGGAAUCCCCCGUCUGAGGAUGAAGUACUAAAGGAUUAACCAGACUGUGGUGCAAGGUAGCGUGGUUGUCCGCAGCCGGUAUCAAGAUCGUAGACAAACCUAAACAUGUAGUGCUGAAGAUGAAGUCUUUUGGGACGCGGGUUCAAAUCCCGCCAUCUCCACCA
rfam:Succinatimonas hippei YIT 12066 genomic scaffold Scfld175, whole genome shotgun sequence.